GGGCUGGGACUCAGAGGUAGAGUGCUCACCUAGCAUGUGCAAGGCCCUGGGUUCGAUCCUCAGCACCACA
rnacentral:tRNA from 1 species